rnacentral:rRNA from 1 species
GCCCGCUACAGAAACUACAAAGGAAUUGACGGGGCCCGCACAAGCGGUGGAGUAUGUGGUUUAAUUCGAUGCAACGCGAAGAACCUUACCUGGUCUUGACAUCCCGGAGACCCUUAGGAAACUAGGGGGUGCUUCCAUCUGGAAGAAUCUGGAGACAGGUGCUGCAUGGCUGUCGUCAGCUCGUGUCGUGAGAUGUUGGGUUAAGUCCCGCAACGAGCGCAACCCUUGCCUUUAGUUGCCAGCAGUUCGGCUGGGCACUCUAAAGGGACUGCCGGUGUUAAACCGGAGGAAGGUGGGGAUGACGUCAAGUCCUCAUGGCCUUUAUGACCAGGGCUACACACGUACUACAAUGGCCGAUGCAAAGGGCAGCGACACUGCGAGGUGAAGCCAAUCCCGUAAAAUCGGUCUCAGUCCGGAUUGGAGUCUGCAACUCGACUCCAUGAAGUUGGAAUCGCUAGUAAUCGUGGAUCAGCAUGCCACGGUGAAUACGUUCCCGGGCCUU